UUUUCUUUUUUUUUUUUUUCCCAGAGGAAGCAUGGUGGGAAUAUCAGCCUUUCUGUCUUGCUAGUGAAAGAAAAACAAACAAACAGAUCCCUUUUAUUUGUAUUCCUUGGCACUAAAAGACAUGGUGCCAAGUGAGGACUCUUCUUUCAGACAAGUCCCUGUCCACACUGAGUGCUUUGGUAGCUAUAAAGUAUAUAUACUUCCAUUUACUUUGAACUGAAGAACAUCUCCAGUGAGGAGAACAGUGAACUGAAAUUUCCUUUCAACAUUGCAUUUAUUUUCUAGUAAAUUUUAGAUAAGUAUUUCUGAAGUAAUUUUCUGAGUAAUAGAAUACAGGGUAAUAGUGUGAUUUGGACCUUAUUCUGCUAAACACAUACACUAUCUACUUUCAAUUGCUUUGAUUGCUUGAUACCCAACACAUAAAUUCAGGAGUCUAAAUUCUCUAUAGCAGCCUGUGGAGGAAUCUAGGCACUUUUGAAUGGUUAUUCUUAGCACAUAAAUUAGAUAAAUAAAUUCAGAGUAUGUGGCCACAAAUUCUAAAAUCUACAGAUCGAAAAGAAAGGUCUCCAUGACUGUGUGAGGGAUGUAUAGCUCAGAGAGCAUGCGGUUCAAAGCACCACAAGUGUCUCCACCAGGUCAAAAAUACUCUUUAUUAGCUCUAGUUUAACAACAAGUUUGGACCUCAUCUGCCUUUCACAGAGAAACUACCAUGCAAGUCUGUGCUCUCCUUGGUGCUUUGGAUGGACUUUUUGCCUUUAGCAUAGCACAGCACAGUGCAAAUGCAAAGCCUAGCACGUGCCUUGGUGCUGCAUUCAAGACAGCACUUCCUCCUAGAAGCCAGAAACUGCUAAGACUUGGGUACAAUAAAUAGGAGUAUAGACUGUGUCUUCCCAGGAAAAAAAGUAGUAGAUAAUGUUUUCUUUAGGGGCCAGCCCUGAAGAAAUCAGCAUUGCUCUCCCAGCCUCUGGCUUGUUGCUGGACUCAGCACUGUGUUAGAGCCCAGCCAAGUCCAGGUGUUCACAUGGGUUUGCAUUGAACCCAACAAGCUUCUGGGACUCAGAGAUCUGUGGGGUGGCGGGUAUUUGUACUGCCCAGCAGCCCUGGUCUUCACAGUGAGACCAGGAGGCACCUGACCUGGAUGGGCUUGCUGGAAACCAGGUUGCAUCUGCCAGAGUGUUUUUUUCUGUGUGUUUUGCUGCAGAACAGUGGCAACACUGGUCCCUGAGGUAAAGUGGUGUGAGAAACAGUAGAACUGUGUUUGUGCCAAACCUUAACAGUCUUUCCAUAACUUGCAUAAAUAAUCUGGAAUCCAGAUAACUGAUAUUUGACUGUUGUAAGAAAUACAGAUUCUAGAAGUUUUCAGGAUAUUAGACAAAAAACAAACCAUGAGGCUAGACAGAGUAUUAAUUUUUAAAAAUUGCUUUUGUAAAAACAAAAGCAAAAACCAGGAAAAAACCUCCUUAAAAUACCAUUAUCAAAGGUAAAAAAUUAAAAGGAUUAAUUCAUGAAUCUUCAAAUAAAAGAGGAUAUGAAACAAAGUUCUGACAGACCUCUUUGUGUAAAAACAUUUUCUUUCUAAUUAAGCCUUUAUAAUCUUUUACAAACAAGUGGAUUUUUUAUGGAAGUGAAAAGUACCACAACCUAGAUGCUGCCAUGAUUCCUCCAAGGAAAAUGAAAAUAUUUUUAUUCUUCACAUCAGUUUAACGCAGAAGAAAAAACUAAAGUAUGUUUUUGACCUCUGCUUGUAUAAUUAGUAUAUAGACAUUAAUCACAGUAGCUUCCUUAAGUUUUCUGAAUGUCUUUUGGUGUUAUACAUGAGUAGACUGACAUACUGACAUUUGUAGGGUACAUAAGUAAACAAUUCAACUUGAGUGGCACACCCUGUCCCUUGGAAGGAGUCGCAGUACUAUUUUCCCAUGAAACUUGUGUGUAUAUAAAGGAAAGAACUGCAUGCAUUAUUUCAAGGGUGGAGGUUAACAAUAGGAAUUUAAACAGAUAGCUAUAAACUUAGUAAAGUGAGGAUUAGUACAGACUGUGGUGCACAUUAAUUCCAGACUGCAGAUUUGUGGAUUUUCAUUUAAUACUAGGUAAACAACCACGCUGGACCACUAAUGAUAUGCUGCCUCCUUUCUGGGUCCCCAGCCCAAGACAGCCACAGUCUGCAUUUCAUAGAUGCUGACAAGUCAGUGCAGCUGAAGCCAGCAGAUGCCAUGAGUGACUGGUGGCCAUCAGACAAGUUCCAGGCAUCUCCAGUGAAGAAUACAGAAAUCAUUUUGAGACAACUUCAGAGUCAACAUACUGGCGUAUAAGUGGCACUAAACUGAGCCCUUGAGAUGACUGGGAUUUUUGACAUAUGAGCACAUUCUUUCUUGCAAGAGUUUGCUUGAGUGGUAGUUGUAUUGAUGUAAUAAAAGAAAUGCAAGACCAA